rnacentral:rRNA from 1 species
GACGAACGCUGGCGGCGUGCUUAACACAUGCAAGUCGAACGGAAAGGCCCUGCUUUUGUGGGGUGCUCGAGUGGCGAACGGGUGAGUAACACGUGAGUAACCUGCCCUUGACUUUGGGAUAACUUCAGGAAACUGGGGCUAAUACCGGAUAGGAGCUCCUGCUGCAUGGUGGGGGUUGGAAAGUUUCGGCGGUUGGGGAUGGACUCGCGGCUUAUCAGCUUGUUGGUGGGGUAGUGGCUUACCAAGGCUUUGACGGGUAGCCGGCCUGAGAGGGUGACCGGCCACAUUGGGACUGAGAUACGGCCCAGACUCCUCCGGGAGUCAGCAGUGGGGAAUAUUGCACAAUGGGCGGAAGCCUGAUGCAGCAACGCCGCGUGCUGGAUGACGGCCUUCGGGUUGUAAACCGCUUUCGCCUGUGACGAAGCGUGAGUGACGGUAAUGGGUAAAGAAGCACCGGCUAACUACGUG